UACGUAGGGGGCAAGCGUUGUCCGGAAUCAUUGGGCGUAAAGAGCGUGUAGGCGGUCCGGUCAGUCGGUUGUGAAAGUCAAGGGCUCAACCCUUGAAUGCCGGCCGAUACUGCCGGGCUAGAGUCCGGAAGAGGUGAGUGGAAUUCCUGGUGUAGCGGUGAAAUGCGCAGAUAUCAGGAGGAACACCCGUAGCGAAGGCGGCACUCUGGGCCGAUACUGACACUGAGGAGCGAAAGCGUGGGGAGCGAACAGG
rnacentral:rRNA from 1 species